ACCAUUAUCAGGAUCCGACUAACCCCUGCGAGGUUUCCUCGUAAGACAUGCCGAACUGCUCAGUAACACGUAGUUAACCUGCCCUAAGCUGGGGGAUAAUCGUGGGAAACUGCGCAUAAUACCCCAUAGGCGAUGAUAGCUGGAAGGCUACUUCGCUCAAAGCUUCCGCGGCUUAGGAUGGGACUGCGGCGGAUUAGGUUGUUGUCAGGGUAAGCACCUGACAAGCCGAUAAUCCGUACGGGUCGUGAGAGCGAUAGCCCGGAGAUGCAUUCUGAGACAUGAAUGCAGACCCUACGGGGUGCAGCAGGGGCGAAACCUCCACAAUGCCUGAAAGGGUGAUGGGGGGAUCCUGAGUGGAUUCGCUUUGCGGAUCCUUUUCUGCACUUUAGAUCGGUGCAGGAAUAAGUGGUGGGCAAGACGGUUGCCAGCCGCCACGGUAAUAACCGCGCCACGAGUGGUAGCCAUGUUUAUUGGGCCUAAAGCGUCCGUAGCCGGCCUGAUAAGUCUCUGGUGAAAUCCGAGAACAGCGAACCUGUUCAGGAUUUGCUGUCCAGAUGUUGUUCUUGGACACCAAAUUUGACAGAAAACUGUUGAGCGUGCUGGAGAUACUAUCAGGCUUGGGACCGGGAGAGGUUAGAGGUACGCUAUGGGUAGGGGUAAAAUCCUUUAAUCCAUAGCGGACCACCUGUGGCGAAGGCGUCUAACUAGAACGGGUCCGACGGUGAGGGACGAAAGCGUGGGGAGCGACUGGGAUUAGAUACCCCAUUAGUCCACGCCGUAAACGAUGCUCGUUUGGUGUCGCGGAACUUUAGGGGUCCCGCGGUGCCGUAGCGAAGGCGUUAAACGAGCCGCCUGGGGAGUACGUCCGCAAGGAUGAAACUUAAGGGAAUUGGCGGGGGAGCACUACCAGGGGUGGAG
rnacentral:rRNA from 1 species